rnacentral:lncRNA from 1 species
UCAUGAAGGGAGGUGGCGCCGGGCUAUAGGAGCGGUGCCAGACGGGGAAAAGGUUCGCGCGUGGAGAUCGAAGCCCGGAGCGCGAGGCCAGACGCGUGGAUCGAGAAGAAGAGCCAGACCGGGGCUGGGCAGGGGGGAAGAGGGCGAAGCCCGGUAACCGAGCUGGUAGUCGAUUUUCCUUGGGAGCCUCCCAAACACUAAGCUAUCUCUAACAAUAUAUGUGGCAAUCUCAUCUUCUAUGUGACAUCCUGGAAAGUAUACUGCCAAGCUGUACUUUUGAACUUUUCUGUUAUGGCCUCAGGAACUUCAUAACAGUAACCUUAUCAUUCUGCAAAAUUGUAUGAACCUCCGAAAUCAUAUCUCAUCAAUAACCUCUGACUCCUGGAGGCUUCUUAUUGAAGGACAAAAUAAAGAACUCCUCUCCAAACCCCCAGACAACUUCUGGAGCAACCUUAUCACCCUGGAAGAUCCCAUUGCCCUGAAGCCCCCUCUUUUGAUUGGUGAGUUCUUCUAAUAACCUCCAUUCUAAUGAAUUGCCUAGGCCAUACAUGUAUACUCCUUCAAAUUCACCAGCUCCUGUCCUCUGAUUUUGGUUCCCUUUUAUGUAUUGUCUCCCCACAGUUAAUAAAAUCCUUGAGAGUAGUCUUUCUUUUUUGCUU